UACAUUAUACGAAAUUUUUCAAGAUUAAAUUUUUUUAAGGGCGGUGACACAACAGGAAGCAGCAGAAAGGGAGGAUCCAGCCUUUGAAAUUUGGCAUUCUUCAUACCUAAGGAGAAGCACACUGGCUCCAGACUUCUGAAGCAGUGUCAUAAGGCAAUGGAGCUAUCCAGCCUUUUAGACACAGGGCCCUCAGACAGAAGCAGCAGAGUGCCUACACAUUCUUACACCGAUCACAAACCAUCCACCAAGGCUGGCUUCUGGGGCAAUGAAGGGCCAGAUAUGAGUUUCCACGUGUUCCCAGAUAAUACCCAGAUAAGUUCUUUAGCUGGCCAGGGGAGAAAGUGUGCGUAACAGAUCAGAUCUUCCUGCCUGGUGGUAGACAGUUUCCCUGACAGCUCAAUUCUUUCUGCCUGGUGUAGACUAGUGGGAAUGCUGGUAUAAGCUCUCUACCCUGACUUUGCUCUCACCGAAUCCCUCACUGCUUCUCCCCACACAGUCCACACAUGUCACCAGAUGGGUGAAUUACAACUCACAUCCACAUGUGAAUUCCUGAUACAGCACACUCUGUGAGCAGGAUCCUCUCUGGGAUUCAGCACGGGCUGGACCUGUGGAUAACCUGACUUCACCAAAGCACAACCAAUCAGUAGAGAGAACACCAUCCGCCAGGCCUGCUGUGUGGACAUCACACACAUGAUCUACCCCUACAGACAUCCUAUAUGAUGUCUAAUAUAGUUCUCAGUUUACAGGUGAUGUCAAGGAACCUGAAUAAUGGCUGGUAAGUGGUUGAGUUAAGACUCAAGUCUGUACUUUCUGAUUUCCAGCUGAGUGGUUAGGUACCCAAUGAGUCUCCCCAGGACUCUUGUUUACAGUUCACAUACAGAGCACACUGGGGUGAAGACAGUCAAGGGAUCUCUGGAUGAAUGACCUCAAAAAUCUUACUGUCAUAUUGCCUACGUAGCAGGCAAAGGCUCUUGUGUCCCUUGACCCUUACCAGGCUUCUGAGGAACACAGGAUCACCUUGUCAAUGCUCAGAGGGCAUGGACAUUUGUGGAGGUGAGGCAGCUUGCACAGGUCAGGUCGGGAGCAGGCAUGAGGAAGAUCUCUCUCUCCCAGUCAGGUCCUCUACUUCUGAACCGUUCUCAAUCAAUGACUUUGAGGAACACUGCGAACCUUUUUCUCACAUUGGCACAGCCUGUGCCUUCCAGAGCAUGUGGCCUAACAGAGAUGCUCUGACUUGAUGAGACCAAAGUGAGUGGCCUCAGAUCAGCCACGUGCCUCCCUCCCUCUUUUGUCUGAUUCUAUAAUAAAGUUCACUGCUUGCUUAAGGCUGCCUUGGCUUAGACAUUUCUCGAGCUGCUUCACUUCACACCAAUUCUGCCAGGCAGUCGGGUCACAGUCCUCUGCCUCAUUUGACAGGUAAGCAUGGGGGACAGAAAGCUUUGAUAGCUAUGCCUAAUACCAAGCUACCCCUCAGCAAGAGAUUUCACUCUUCCUGACACCGAAUCGCCUGCAGUGAUCUGACCAAGGCCUUCAAUGGGACUCAGUUUACCCAUCGAGAAGCAAAGAUACUGACUGACCUUCACUACCAAUAGUGUCUGGGUUCUCAGACAGCUUCACGCUGACUUCCUUUCGACGCUGAACCGCUGGAGGACACCCCUGGGAGGCUUGCCUCUUAUUUGUCGUUUUAGCUUUAAGUUGAGAAACGGCUUCAAAACCUGAAAACCCAAGGAUAAACCAGUAGAACUUGACAGGGCAAACUCCUCUUUACAGAUGGAGUAUCUCCCAAGCACAACCUGCUGAGAGUAAUCCCACCUGUCAUUGAAACUUGCCAGGGGAGGGGCGGGGUUGUCCCUGUGGGGCCCUCACGGGAGCCCUUGUGGGAGCUGUACUUCUGGACUUUUCUCAUUAACUCCUCACAGGUGCGCCAGCCCCUGCAUAAUGUGGCUGUGUCAGGCAGGCCCAUCAGGGACCCACAGCUGGUCAAAGAAAUGGGAUUCCAAAGCCAAGCCAGGAGACAUUCAUCUUCCAGAAAGUUAAAUAAGGAUGGCUGGCUAGAGAUGGAGAUGGGAUGAGCAGAGCCUCCUGUUUGUUAGAGUUACCUGGGUAAACCCCCAAGCGCGGUGGCUGGGAGCAUCCCCAGGAGGCAGCAGAUGCCAGCCAGCAGCAGCCUGCACAUGCGCGUGGCCUGCUCUGUGAAGCUGCUAUGGAGAUGAGGUCUUAUAGCCUCUGUUCAUAAGGUGGAGAGCCAAGUGGCAGCCUGAAUUUGAAGAGCUGAGAAUCAAGGAAGGCAAUGGAACUCUCAACUCGGCACCAAAGGCUUCAGACCUGGGGAUGACAUUUGAGGCCCCUCCAGUCCUGAGCAGCGAGAUAAACAACCCAGCAGCGCUCUCAGCCUCAGCGGGGAGGUACGGUGAUGUGUGGCCUGGAUGUAGCUAUGACUCAGUGCUUCCCCGAGCUUUUUCAUCAUUGGACAGGAAGCAAACCGCCUCAUCCUUCUGCAGCCUCAACCCGGCUUGACUUCAAAUGACAUUAAAAAGAAACCGAAUCCCUGGAGGUUUCUAGAAGGUCAGAAGUAGAACUCAAAGGCAGAAGCAAAGAGGAUCAGAAGAGUGACGGCCCAUCACCUGAGGGCCUCCGUGAGAAGGGAGACUCCAGGGAGUCUCUGCUGACUGCCCUCCCAGGGCUAGCAGCCAUUGGCCCCAAGAUCUCCAAGACAGUGGCUUUGCAGCCCCAUGGCAAUCUCCAGGCCCUUCCCCCAAAGAAGGGUUCAAAUCCAGUCAGCUACCUCAGCCAAAUCCCACUAUCCAGAUGUUUUUUUUUUAGGGAGAUAGAUGGCAAACCUUCAGCAGUUGCUUCAUGGAGAAUGGAAUGCCCUCCAGACCCCAACUGCAGACCGUUACAGCCCAACAGACAUGACGUCAUUUAAAAGGUGUUUGAGUUUGAGCAUGUUUUCCUAAUGUGUUUUAGAGCACCCAUAAGUGGUUAAUAAAAGUUAUAUAUGUAGAUUAUUAUCUAAAAAUAUACUCUAUGAAACUCCUUUGAAGGCAAGAGCUUAUGGAUAGUAUUCUAGAUUGCUAGGGCUUUAAAAAAAAAUAAGCAUGUUGGUCUGAGUCUCUCAACCCAUGAAGAAAAACAUUCCUUUCCCUGUGCUAUCUUCCUGUUUGCACACUUGGGAUAGGACCCCAACGCCUAGAUUAGCUGGUCAAUCGCUGUCCUGACCAGAGACGCUCAUGCUGAUAGCAACCUCGAUUUUAAGUCUUUGGGUAAGCCCUCUGUUGGCCUCUCCAUCGUGUUUUUCAAAACUUUAGGGGAAAUAGUUAAGAGAUCCAAAUAGGACCACAGGUCACUUCUAAUCUAUUAGUGAAGGCUCCCUAAACGAGUCAGUCUGCCAGUCAACUGAGUUUGAGAAACACAGUGAACGAGAGUUUUCAACAGAAUUAUAUCAGAAUUAUUAGUGUUUAUGCUCAUGUGUCUCACAGGAAGAAAACCCAGGCCAAACAUCUUCCAUAAAUUCUUGUCAAGGAUGCCUGUACUCCCAGACGGCUUACCAAGUAGCCUUUAUGUAACCAGCGCUGCUCACAACACAGUGAAAUUCUGGCCACAAGAGCAGUCUAAAGAACCAGUUUGGACUUUGUUGUUGUUGUUGUUGUUGUUUGUUUGGUUUGUUUUAUUUUUGCCUGUUUUUAUUUUUUAAGACAAGA